rnacentral:miRNA from 1 species
ACCUUAGAGACCAGCUAAGUUUGUUAUUGGUAUGAGCUUUCGUGUGCAUGCACACUUCUUCAGAUACCCAGAGAUCUGAAGAAGUGUGCAUGCACACAAAAGCUCAUACCAAUAACAAACUUAGCUGGUCUCUAAGGU